CCUACGGGAGGCAGCAGUGGGGAUUAUUGGACAAUGGGGGGAACCCUGAUCCAGCCAUGCCGCGUGUGUGAAGAAGGCCCUCGGGUUGUAAAGCACUUUCAGUGAGGAAGAACGCCUGGUGGUUAAUACCCAUCAGGAAAGACAUCACUCACAGAAGAAGCACCGGCUAACUCCGUGCCAGCAGCCGCGGUAAUACGGAGGGUGCGAGCGUUAAUCGGAAUUACUGGGCGUAAAGCGCGCGUAGGUGGCUUGAUAAGCCGGUUGUGAAAGCCCCGGGCUCAACCUGGGAACGGCAUCCGGAACUGUCAAGCUAGAGUGCAGGAGAGGAAGGUAGAAUUCCCGGUGUAGCGGUGAAAUGCGUAGAGAUCGGGAGGAAUACCAGUGGCGAAGGCGGCCUUCUGGACUGACACUGACACUGAGGUGCGAAAGCGUGGGUAGCAAACAGGAUUAGAUACCCUAGUAGUC
rnacentral:rRNA from 1 species